AACGAACGCUGGCGGCAUGCCUAACACAUGCAAGUCGAACGAGACCUUCGGGUCUAGUGGCGCACGGGUGCGUAACGCGUGGGAACCUGCCCUUAUGUUCGGAAUAACUCCCCGAAAGGGGUGCUAAUACCGGAUAAUGUCUUCGGACCAAAGAUUUAUCGCCUUUGGAUGGGCCCGCGUUGGAUUAGCUAGUUGGUAGGGUAAAAGCCUACCAAGGCGACGAUGCAUAGCUGGUCUGAGAGGAUGAUCAGCGACACUGGAACUGAGACACGGCCCAGACUCCGACGGGAGGCAGCAGUAGGGAAGGUGCCGCAAUGGGCGAAAGCCUGACGUAGCAACGCAGCGUGAGUGAUGAAGGUCUUCGGAUCGGAGAACUCUGUUAGUAGGGAAGAACAUAAAUGGAAGUGACUGUGCACAUCUUGACGGUACCUAAACAGAAAGCCACGGCGAACUACGUG
rnacentral:rRNA from 1 species